UCUGAAUGUGCUUUGAAAUGCCUUUGAAAUAUAUAUGACAGCCUAUCUGAGCGGGUCUGCAAGUGCACUUAACAGUUGGGUGGCAGGAGAGGUGUCGCAGAGGUGGGAUGACGUGGAAUGACUGGAAGGCACCACAGACGAGAGGAAGAGUGAGCGGCAGGAAAAGAGACGACUGAAACCGGGGAGAAUAAAAGCAAGCUGUUACUUUUACAAAGUGUAGGGCAGAGUGGCUGCUUUUGAUGACAGCUACGGGGGGAGCAGCCUGAUGCGUGUGCGUGUUAAUGCAAGAAUAGUCAGAAAUGCCAUUAUUUUCUUGGCACAAACAGGACAACAUGCUGGCAAGUGUCAAGAUGAAGCGGCUGAGAUGAAUCUGCCACAGUAAAGAAAACCCCCCCGAAGGGAAUGACUCAGGAAAUCAAACCAUUAUCAGAAAAUGUCUUGUUUGUCUGCAGUACAGGCACAGGCACAGCCACGGAUGGAUUACUGAACGGGCUAAGGGGCCAAGAGGUCGGGGAGUCCCCGAGGCCCUGUUUGACAUGUUUCUUCACAUUUUUGUCGGAAAGUCAAUCUGAAGACAACGAAGAUUUCUUGCUCUUGAGUGGAAGGGAUGGGGUGCUCUACGUGACUGCGCCAAGGGGCCUCAAAGUCAGUCAAUGGGCACUUGAGCCACACAAACAAACUUCUCCUUGGUUGGAAAAUAUUAUUUCAGCCGCAACGUGUCAGCUCCAUUUCCUGGAAGACACAAUGACUCAGUGGUAACCGUGAACGUUCUACCUACAGUCAACAUUAAACUUUACAUCUGUGUGUCUUCACGUCCUCGCUUACCUUGUCUUGUCUUGAAGCAGUGACGGCUUCGCACCGUGCUUAGAAUCGGAUCGCAGGAGAUGAUUGUGCUUUUCGGUGAAUGCGCGCAUUGUGCCUGCGAUUGUAGGAGCGCUGACAAUUGCUUUAUGAAAGAUCAUUUUCCUAUUAUGCCUGCAAAGCCUGGAGUAUGAUGCUAUCUCCCACCUAUUCUGAACCACCUCCUCCAGUAACUUUGGGGGGGUCAUUUUUUGUCCAGAUUGAACUAAAUGAGAAUGGAUGUCAUGGAGUUUAAUUUUUUUAGGAAACGAGAGCAGCGUCUGCCUCUUACUCUAAAUCAGCUCCAUCAGUUCAGUGAACUAUGUUCCUCGCUGUGACAGUUGAAUAUGUGUGGGUGACAGUACAAACAAAGGUGAAUCGAUGCAUUUCCCCAAGGAAGAGACAACGAGAGGUUGAGAGGAAGGAGCGAGUGUGAGGGGGGGGGGGGGGGAGAAAAGACUGAGAGAUGAAGGUGGCAGCGUGACAUAGGGAGUGUGACAGUGUCAUGCAGGCUGGUUUCAUCGUUUCUCCCCAGCGCCCUAGGGAGAUCAUUAGCUCACAAUAUGGAGUCUAUCAAUCCUCACAGAAUACCACUCUCGCCUCCGGAUACAUGUCCC